rnacentral:rRNA from 1 species
UACGAAGGGGGCUAGCGUUGCUCGGAAUGACUGGGCGUAAAGGGCGCGUAGGCUGCGGGGCAAGUCGGGUGUGAAAUCUCAGAGCUCAACUCUGAAACUGCACUCGAUACUGCUUUGCUUGAGGACUGGAGAGGAGAUUGGAAUUCACGGUGUAGCAGUGAAAUGCGUAGAUAUCGUGAGGAAGACCAGUGGCGAAGGCGGAUCUCUGGACAGUUCCUGACGCUGAGGCGCGAAGGCCAGGGGAGCAAACGGG